UUGUUCCCAAAGUAUACGGAGCAAUAAACUGAAGGAAUGAGAAUGGACGAAAGGAAUCACCACCCUUCAUACACUCAAAGUCACCCUUCUCUCUCUAUCCUGAGCUCAAUGUCGCCCAAAUCCCUCUCUCUCUGCUUGGUUAAUGUCGCCCAAGUCCCUCUCUCCAAGGUCAAUGUCGCCUUUCUCCUCCCCUUAUCAAGUCUUUGUCUCCCAAAUCCGUCUCUCCUUGGUAAAUGUCGCCCAACUCCCUCUCUACUUGGUAAUGUGGCCCAAAUCCCUCUCUCCUUGGUUAAUGUGGCCCAAAUCCCUCUCUCCUUGGUCAAUGUCACCUGAUGCCUCUCU
rnacentral:lncRNA from 1 species